UCUCACUCUAUGUUUGCUGUGUGGAUGUUAACACCCAAGAUGAUAUGGGGAGCCAUUGCAAUAAAAAUGGCAAAACCUCCUUUAGACUGGGUUCUUGAGUAACUGAGCAGAGCUUUCAUCCCAGGCAGCCACUGUUUCCAGGACCCACCACCCAGCCAUCUCACCAUCCUAAAACCAGAAAUCUUCCAAAAUGUCUUCUGAUCCCUCAACCCUACAUCCAACCAGAAGUCAAGAUCAGGGAUGUGUUAUAAGAAGACGGGAACACAACAAAGUCAUCAAUCACUGGCCUUUUUAAACAUGAAGAUCAAAUAAAAGUAAAAAUAAUGCUUUAUAAGCCUGAAAUAAAUUAGGUUUUUAUUUUCCAUCAGAUCAUAUUCUAUGAAAUAAGAAAAUGAUCACAGAAUCUUAGAAUCACGUGUGCAAUUUCCUUUGAUAUUAAUCAACUAAUUGUGAAUGAGCCAAAUUAGGAUUAGAGAAGUUAACCUGCUUGUGCAGGGCUAAAGGAUUUGUGGCAGGGUAAGGUCUUGAACAAUAAUCUGGAAUUGUCAUAGGCAAGAUAAACAGUGAGAAAUUCUUUACAAAUAAGUGUGCAGAAGCUGGUGAUAUUGCCACUAUAUCAGUUGCCUUUUCUCUGUCAUUCAACCCAAUCGAUGGUGUCAUUACAUAAACGUAGCUAUAAAAUGGAAAUGACAUGUUCAAUAAAUGUUUAUAAGAGGAUGGAGGUAUAGGUAGCAUGCUUGUGAUUUCUUGUUUUCAUACACAUACUGGUAGAACUUGGCAGAAUGCAGUGAUUCUCUUGACUAAGGGUUCUCAGCCCUGGAUGCACAUCAGAGUUACUGAUGGAGCUGUUAAAAACAUUUGUACUCAGCCGGGCAUGGUGGCUCACACCUGUAAUCCCAGCACUUUGGGAUGCCAAGGAAGGGGGAUCUCUUGAGGUCAGGAGUUUCAGACCAGCCUGGCCAACAUGGUAAAACUCCAUUUCUACUAAAAAUACAAAAAUUAGCUGGGCAUGGUGGCAGGUGCCUGUAAUCCC
rnacentral:lncRNA from 1 species